AUCAGGAAUCUUGCGCAAUGGGGGAAACCCUGACGCAGCGACGUCGCGUGGAGGAUGACGGCCUUCGGGUUGUAAACUCCUUUUAUCGGGGAAGAGACAGGACGGUACCCGAUGAAUAAGCCCCGGCUAACUCCGUGCCAGCAGCCGCGGUAAUACGGAGGGGGCGAGCGUUGUCCGAAUUUAUUGGGCGUAAAGCGCGUGUAGGCGGACCUACAAGCCUUUGGUGAAAGCCUGGAGCUCAACUCCAGAACUGCCGAAGGGACUGUGGGUCUGGAGGCCGGCAGAGGAGAGUGGAAUUCCUGGUGUAGCGGUGGAAUGCGUAGAGAUCAGGAAGAACACCCAUGGCGAAGGCAGCUCUCUGGGCCGGUACUGACGCUGAGACGCGAAAGCGUGGGGAGCGAACGG
rnacentral:rRNA from 1 species